rnacentral:lncRNA from 1 species
UCCUGGCCAGAUCGAGGUCUGCCAUUGGAUAUAUGAGAAUAGCCUGAUAUGGACAAUUGCCAAGUCAUAAUGGAAGAACGAAGUGUGGUCAAGAUGGAAUAAACAUGGGUUCGGCCUGGUGAUCAAGAUAGAACUUGGUCUUUAGCUACCUCCAACCGAAAAUCNNNNNNNNNNNNNNNNNNNNNNNNNNNNNNNNNNNNNNNNNNNNNNNNNNNNNNNNNNNNNNNNNNNNNNNNNNNNNNNNNNNNNNNNNNNNNNNNNNNNUUUUUUUUUUUUUUUUUUUUUUUUUUUUUGUGAUUUGAGUACAUGUUCAAUUCUUUUGCAUUCUCCUGUCCUUUGUUACUAUCUUCGAGAAUUUUCUUCAAAUUUCGACGAGGACCAAUAACUAUUUUCACAGUACUAUUGUUAUAUAAACGAGAGACAGAUAAGAAUGCAGUUGUUUUUUGAUAAAAGAAAAAAACGAAAAGCUGCAAAAAUAGUUCAAGUGGCCCAGUGGUUGGGAGUCCCAACGUGAUCGUUUUUAUACGAGAAGAACAAGAGCUGCCCGGUUCAAUCUUGAAGUGGCACUUCCCACUUUUUCUCCCUCUGAAUUUUGCUUUUCAACUUUUCUGCAUUUAUCUUUUGUUUGCACUUUCUCGGUUACAUAAACUGCAUAUCAUCAGAUCAUUGCUUUCUUUUUUUUCUUUUCUUUAUUUUGCUUUUUUUAACCAUUUGUCAUUGGAAAAAGAUAAUUCAAUAAGAACCCACAAUACGCGAUUAGACUUCUAAAAUCCUAAAAACUUCACAUGAAUGAUUCUCAUAUGAUAAAAAUGUAAAAACUAAAUUUAUUUUUGUUUCGCUGGAAUUGCUCUCUUAAUUAAAUAUCUUUCACCGAAAGUUAUUCUUUGGUUUUAUUAAAGAGGACAAGGGUUAUGUGCCAACUCCAGACAAUGGAUAUCUUAUGCAAUAAGGAAUUGAACUUCUUUGGUCCUGUCGCGACCUACCCUCGGGGGGAGGGAACAGGUUUAGGGGUAUUGCCUAAAAGACGGGCCUAAGGCCCAUGAUUAGGCGCGAGCUCUCCCAAGCCUAUACCCCGCAUGACGUUGGGAUAUUCUUAAGAAAUUUUGCAUAAAAGGAGUCGCCACUAGCCUAUUGGGGUCGGCUAGAAACCAAGUGAGGCAUGGGAGUGUACCUCACUUCCUACGCAACCAGAGAAUUUAGGUUCGGGGACUUGAUUACACUAAUUAACCAAUUAGUGCCCUUUCGGUACCUAAUCUUGUUCAUUUUAACAAAAUGAUUUUUGGCAGGCAAUUUGGAUUGAUUUCAUAUUUAUCCACUAACAUGUGAGGUGAUCAUGCAGGCGCGCAAUCAUUAAAGUAAUAAUCAUAACUACCAAGAUCCUAAUUACAAUAAGAUUAAACACAUGCAAUCAAACAUAAUUAAAUAUGCAAAUUAAACAUACGACAUAAUCAAUAUGCAAGCAAAUAGAUGUCUAAUUACACUAAGAAAGCAAGAUAUAGCAAUUCCUAACCAAAUCACAUCAUUUUUGGAUUUUCGAAAUUUUUUAUUUUUGAUUUUUUUUUAAAAAAAAUUAUUUUUAAACAAAAUUAAUUUUUUUUUAAAAAAAAAUUGAAACUAUUUUCAAUAUUUAAUAUUUUUUUUGGAUUUUCGAAAUUUUUUAAUAUUUUUAAUUUCUUUUUAAAUAAUAAAAUAAACUUAAAAAUAAAAUUCGGGGCCGGACCGGGUCGGGUCCAGUCUGACCCGACUUGGGUUCAGCCCGUUCAAUGUGGGUCGGGUCCGGUCGUAGACCGGACCAGAUUUUGGCCUCGUCGGCGGCAACGGGCCCGAGUGGGCCCAAAAUUCUUUUUUUUUUUUUAAUACUUUAGUCAAGGCCCAAAGAAAAUUAAAAGACCCACCUAUUUCCUAAGCCCGCGAGAGCCCAACCCAAUUUACCUGAAUCUGAAGCCCGGCCCGAAGACAGACCCAAGGCUGACCCACUUCGAAGACCAAACCCUACCCAGUUUGGAGGGUCGCUUGACCCGGUUCUGACCCAAUUUGAGCCUCCUUCUCCAAGGCUUCUUGGCGGCACUGACACCGGGCAGCGAUGGCGGCGACGGCGGCGGCGCAGCGGGUGGCGGCGGCACAGGCAGCAACGGCGCGGUGCUGGUGCCGCAACGGGAUCGAAGGAGUGGCGUCAGCGGCAGUGGGCAGCGGCGGCGUCGUGGCUUCGGGCAGAGGAGCGGCUCGGACGACGUCGUAGGGGCAGCCAGAGGGCGGCAGGAGGAGGCUUUUGCAGAGGGUCGUGGAAGCUCGAGCUGCAGGCGAGUCGGGGCGCAGCGGUGGUGGCGCAGCGGCAGAUGAUGCGGCGGAGGGGAAAGACUCCCAGAUCUAAUCAAGCGUGAUCAGAUCUGGGCCUUUGGCGGAUCUCCAACGCGACGGGGCGGACUGGUGCUAGCUGCAGGAGCGGCCGAGACCGGCGAAGGGCGCGGAAACAACGACAGCGAGGCGGAGCUUCAAACGGUUGCAAGGCGGCAGCGGUGCGGCGACUAGUUCAGAUCUGCUAGCGUCGGGGGGCGCUAGCGCGGCGUCAAGUGGGCAGAGGCAGGGACGCUGGAGGUGAGCUACUGCAGGAGUCGCUCAGAGGUGCUGCAACGGCAGGUAGCGGAGCGGCGAGCACUGGACGAAGGUGGCGCGAGGUCGACGGGCGGCGCUCGGGCGGAGAGGGCAUCGAGCGCCUGGUGGAGGUGGCGCGAGCGUCAGGUCGUCGCAGCUGCAGCAGGGGGUCACGGACGCGCGGGCUGCAGGCGAGUCGAGGCGCGGCGGUGGUGGCACUGUGCUCGCGGACAAGCGGCUCCACCGCGCCGCGGCCGACGCAGCGAAGGCUUCCCGCGGCCGCGGGGCGGAGCCGCUGAGGCUCCUCUUUUCAUUGCUCCCUCUCUCUCUGUUUUGAACUCACUCUCCCUCUCUCCUCCUCCUGUCCCCCCUUUUUUUUGUUUCUCUCCCUCUGUCUUCACUUUCUCUCAUGUUUCUCUUCUGUUUUGCAGGUCCGCGUGCGAAGGAGGAAGACAGCCAGGCGUGGGCUGGAGGGGAAAGGAAGCAAGGCCGAGCCUAGGCCAGAUCAGGCCCAACUCGACCCCUUAAGCAUUUUUUGUUUUUUUUGGUUUUUUUAUGACAAUUUUUUUAUUUUUUUUAGCAAUUAAUUCCUAGUUUUGUAUGCGAUUAAGUUUUAAGUAAAAUAGUAAAAUUUAGGUGUCAACAGGUCCAAACAACAUUGAUUUUAGGUUGAGUCAGAAUUAAUCAACAACAAGGCAAAAAAAAAGUUACAAGGCCAAUCUCAAACUAUGUUGGAAUUUAAUCAACAACACAAAUUAAGGAUAGUAAGAUGUGGAGUUGGAAUUUAAUCAACAACACAAACUAAGGAUAGUAAGAUGUGGAAUUGGAAUUUAAUCAAUGACAAUAUACGAGGAUAGUAAGAUACAAUACUGGAAUUUAAUCAACGACGAUGUACCAAGAUACAGAAACACGUCGGAAUCUAAUUAACAAUGAGAAUCUAAAAGCUAUAGCUAGGAAAAAUAAAGUGUAGUACAGGAAAAGCAAAGAUAAAAAGAUAACAUUUUGAUUGAUUUAUCAUAUGACUUCUGGUUGGAUGACUGGUGGUAUGAUAAACGUUUGGUAGUUACGUCUUCUCUAGUGCCUACUACUGGCUUUGUCCAUGAUCCUUUAUUCUCAUAGAUCACUUUGCCCAUACUUCAUAUAACUGUCCUAGUCGUGUUUUGAGGAUUAUGCAACUGUCGAUGCCAUUCCAUGACUGGGGCUCCAAAUAGCAAUUGAUUUUUUACAACGUGCGCCUUUGAUGCUAACUACCUUAGUGCCUUGAGUAAUAUUCAAAGUGUCUCCAUUGAAAAAGUUGUUGCUAAAGUUCAUACGAGCGGCUAUUAAUCAUCCGUCAUCAUAUUUCAACAAUUGAGCACGUGGCAUUUCUUUAUCUCAUUGUCAAUCAUCGGAUAUCUACCCUAUGUCUAUUGAUAAUCUGGCAUACAUCAGACAUUACCCAUCCAUUAUGCACAUAACUGUAACUUAUUUCUGAAGAGCUACAGCCGAGGUAAAUCUCAACUUUAAUAUCAGCUAUAUAGUUCACAAUUUCACGAAAGAUCCUAUAUUUAUGAGAGGACAUGUAACAUUUCAAUUAAGAUAAAUAUUUGUCACAUGUAUUUCCUUGUUUAUAUAAGGGACCCAAUUUGUCAUGCGAUUGAUAAAUCUCUUCGUUUGUAGCUAUACUUUUAUCUUUUAACAAUCUUAGCCCAUGGAUCAUCUUUUAACAAUCUUAAGUAAGAGUUUUCCUAAUGUGGACAACAUUAAUUGAUAUUGUAAUUUACCGUUUUACGAUUACCGUUUUACGGGAUUGGUCUAAGGUGAGAUAGAAGGUUUCUUAAUUAGUCUAAUAUGGGGUUAGCUAGUGUGGGCCGAGUUGAGCCUGGCUCGUAAUAAAAGGGCCUGGUUAGAAACUCUAUAAAUAGUGCUCAAGCCUCUCCUCUAACCCUAAUUCUUACAAGUAUCCUCACAUAAGGAGCGUUUACCUAGCGCUAAAGGGUGAGGGGUUAUCUCAUUGAACCAGUGAUAUGGAGAGCAAUAGAGGAGAAUGACUUGCACGUUGAUCAUCGCUUUUCCGUUUCCGCAGCAAGAACAAUGGAUUCCAAUACAGGUGCGUUAAUCUUUCUACCUAUUCAUCUAUACUCUUGUUCUAAUUAUGGACAUCUUGGGGUAGCACGUUUUGCAUCUUACAUAUGGUAUCAGAGCCGCCAUAACCCUAGAACUCGAACGCAUAAAAUUUUUACCCUAACCGGUCAACUGUUGAUCGGACCGAACAGUCAAGCCAGGAACCGGUCGGACUGCUUCCGGUCGGAUAGGUUUUUGAUCAGUCUUUUCACCCGCACGUGAGCUCUACGCACCGCGCACUCAGGCGGCGCGUGUGGGAGCGUGGGAGCUUCGAUAGGCGCGUGGCUGGUGGCAUCAAAUUCGUAUCGCCAUUCUCUAUCUUGUGGUGUGUUUAUUUUACAUGUUUGAUGAUUUUAUGGAUGUGAAAAUACAUACGAAACCCUAAAUACAUAUAUUUUUAGUGCAUUUGUACGUAUUUUUCUUGUAUUUUUCUGUGAUUUUGGAAAUACAGGUGUUGGGUUACAGGUAUGUUAUCACAUAAACAUUAUAAAAGUGUGAUUCAUUAAUAAAAGUUAAACUUUAUUGUGAACUGAAACUGACUUAAUGAGAUACGACCAUUAUGAGAUAGUAAUUGAACUAUGUAUUGAGAUGAUGAGAAACAGUAAAAGGCUAUGAAAAUUUUGUCGCUCAAGUAUACUCUUUUACACGCAUCUUGAUGUAUUUUUGUUUCUUUUUUAUAACCUUUGAACGAUGGACGUCUUAAGAACUCGUGACCAAACUAAUUAUACUACUUAACACAUCUGAUAAAUGUGAGUAAUGCAUGUCAGUUAAAUUAUCGGAUACUGUACCUAAACUCAUCUGGUCACUUGUUGAUGUCUAUCAAGUUGAACAUUUUUUAUAAUUAAGAAGUAUGACAACAUUUACGUAAGAGCAAUAGUAUCUACUGUUAUAGUUUAGAUAUUUGAUUCUACGGUUUGACUCAAUUAAUAGGCCACUAAUUGAUACAAUGAUAAUUUGUUACUUAAAAGUGGCUAAUAAAUUAGCUGUCAGGCUUGUCAAUCUGGGAUACCCUGUAUUGUUAUUGAUAUUAACUUGUGAGAGAUCCCUUGGAUCAACAUUCUUCUUUAUGUUGUUCUGGUAAUCUAUAAUAUGGGUGCACAAGAGACGCUUUCUUCUAUGUUAUGAGAAGUUUCUUGCGUUGCUAUGAUCGGUGAUCUUAUUGGAAUCUAUCUUUUAGGUCCUUUAUAUAUAUAUAUAUAUAUAUGAUUGAUUUUCCUAGAUGAAUAAAGUAGUGUAAUCAGCAUGAUAUGUGAUUUUGGUGAUUUACUGCCCCUAUCAUUAAAGUUAAAAUCACAUGUAUAUGAUAUAUGUGAGAAGCAAAGUUUAUAUCCCUAGUAUGAGAAAGUUUCAAGAAUUCAAUUGAGUAGUGACCGCCAAAGUGGUACACUUGAUUGGGUUUGAGAAAUAUCGGUCUCAUAUAAUGAUGGGGAUGUCUCAAGUUAUAAUGCGUAGUCAUACUUUCAAAGGAGGUGAUUGUGUAUUAGUUCAUGGAGGGAUACAUGAUGAUGUGGUGGAUAAGUGACUGAUCCUAGUGGUUCAUAUGCCCAAAGGUGAUGAAUUCACGAAAGUUAAAAUAUAUUCUCAUAACCGCUAUCAUGUAGGGAGUGUACAACUACAUGUCAUAUAUUCUGCCCAAAAGUAAUUAUAUGAUUUUGCAUGUAAUUCUCUGGAUGUGUACUUAUACGUCAAGUUACAUAGUGCUCACAUGAUGGUAAAUAUAUACAUUACUUGUUUUUUCAGUCGCCUUUUCUGUAAUUAAUAACUCUAUUAUUAUUGAGGUUUUUACUUGUUCAAAUUUUAAGUAGUUGAAAUAGAAUUUUCUAUUUGGUGAAAGAGUAAUCGGAUUUGCUCGUUAUUUAUGAAGCGUUUCAUUUAGGAACAUUUGAAAAGUGAUUUACCAACUGACUGCACUUCUUAAAGAUGAUAGAAGCUUUAGUGGCUUGAAAUUAUGUCUUGUCUAAUAUCGAAAUUAGGACACAUCUGCAAGGAUUUUUUAACAUAAUGAUAUAUGUGUCUCGUAUACGGUUGAAAAUGUUGUUUCCAAAAGUUUUCUGUCUUAAAGAAUCAUCUCACACAUGUCUAAAGAAAAAGUAGAAAAGUUGACAAUGUUGAUAUUCUGUCUACUAUUAACGGUUUUUUAAAGACUUCUAAAGAUUAUUGUGGAAAUAAAAUGACCGAGAUAAAAAAUAAAACAGUUAGAAUUAGUCUUAAAAGUUGUCAGGCCUAAUAGUGGCGGUAAGUAUUUUGGCAAGUAUGGCAAUACUGAAUAGCUUAAACGGACAUUUGUCAAAUACUAGGUAAAUUCUAGGGUGGUAACUUAAUUUACUAUGCCUGAAAAUCCUGACAAAAUGAUUUGGCUGAAAGGCAUAACUACACCAUAAUCAACAUGGUGAUGAGUAUGAUGAGUAAGACUAAUUUUUCAGGUCUUCUGUGGGUUGAUAUUUUGAAAGCAACUCUUUUCAUAUACAAAAACGUGUUUCUUAUCAAAGUUAUUCCCUAAACUUCUUUUGAGUUAUGGAUUGGACGUAAAUUUACUUGAAUAAUAGUAAAAUUUAGAGGUGUCACGCAGAAGUGAGGUUAUAUAAUCCAAUAUUAAGUGCGUUGGAAUUCAGAUCCACUUGAAAUUAUUUUAUAUCUUACCCAAAUUGUUCAAAGGGGUAUCGAUUUUAUAACAGUAAUGAAGGUACAAGUAUUAUAAAAUCACAGACAGUAAAGUUUCUAGAGUUCGACGUGAUUGUAAAGGAUAGUUACUCUCAGACUAUUAAGGAUAAUAGUACGAUGGAGAUCACUGUGCCUUUGUCUUUACCUAUACAGACAAUUGUGGAAUCUCCUAUACCAUAGACUAAACUUGUUGAGGUUCAAGGUACCAUUAUUGAUAUAGUUUACGUUGAAAUUUCUCAAACCUCUAAAUUGCAUAAUGAAGUGGUUGUAGCUUUACUCAGGAGAUUUGUUAAGGAAAAAUGAUCAGUUAUACCAUCAAACUACAUAAUCUAUCUGUGAGAACAUGACUUCAAAAUCUAUUGCAUGGUUAAUUUAGCCACUUAUAUAAUUAUUGUUUCUUGGCCUCAAUCAAGUAUAUGAUUAGAUGUCGUAAAAGACAAUAUGCAAUCUAUGAAAUUUUAUAGUGUUUGGAAACUUACUGACUUGCCUAAAGAUCACAAGUUCAUUAGUUGCAAAUAGGCGUACAAAACUAAAAGAAUUUCAAGGAAAGAUUGUGGAGUUUAAAGCUAAAUUGGUAGCUAAAGUUUUCAUCUGAAAGAGGGAUGGAUAGUUAAUAGUGAAAAAAUAAUUAUUUCUUUCUAGUAUUUUUAAAUAUUCUUUUAGAGUGAACAUGGCAUUAAUAGUUUAUUUUUGAUAUGGAGUUACGCCAAAUAGAUACUAUCUUUUCAAACGAACACUUUGUAUAGACUGAAAAGUCUUAUUCAUGGUUUAAAGCAAAUUUCCGGACAAUAUUAUUAAAGUUUCAUAAUGUUGUUAUUUUGUUCAGUUGGGAACAAAGUAAUUCAGUAUAUAUAUACUGCGAGGUCAGUGAGAGGAAAUUUAUUUUUCUCAUACUCUUUAUACAUGAUUUUUUUCUUACAAGUAGUGACCUUGAGGCAUGGCAUCUUUUGCCCUUUGCACUGAGGUCUGUAAGGGUUGUUCUCGCCAUAUAUGUCAGAUUUAUCUCGGAGGACAUUUGCUGAUCGUAUUUUGGAAAUAUUCAAUAUACAUUAUUGCAAGUCAGAAAUUGCUCAUGUCAUUAAGGGUGAUGGACCGAAUCUAUUAUAUUGUUCUUAUUUAGAUAUUGAGAAAAUCAUGGUGUACUUUGUGUUAGCGCACUUAAAAGUAUAAUGUAUGCUCAAAUUUGCACUAGACUAAAUAUCGUCUUUGCAACGGAACUUCUAGACAGAAAUCAGUCAAAUCCAAGACGCGAUCACUGGGUUGCUGCCAAGAAGGUUUUAAGGUACUUAAAGAGGACAAAAGAUUAAAUGAUAAUUUAUAGACAUGUUCAAUUCUUGCAACUAAUAAGGUAUUUAGAUGUAAACUUUGUUGGCUGUUAUGAUGAUAUGAGAUUAAUAACGGAAUAUAUAUUUGUAUUAAUAGGAAGUGCAAUAAAUAAAGUUCUAUGCCAUCUUCUACUAUGUAAGCAAAGUUAGUAACAUUCUUUUAAGCUGUUAUUUGGGCUAUUAGGCUCUGGAACCUCAUUAAGGAAUUGACUAUUUUUAACUUUAUGAAUAAACCCAUAUAAUUGUAUUGAGACAAUAACUUUGUAGUAUUAUUUAUUAGUAACAAAGGUCUCAAGGGGUCUAAAUAUAUGACAGUUAAUUUUUUUACCAUAAAGAAACAGUACAAAAAUGUGAUGUUAUAAUAUAACAUAUUUCCACAGAUGACGUGGUUGCAGAUCCACUAACUAAAGGACUUUAUUCUUCUGUUCUUGAAUGACAUAUCAUUAAUAUGAGCUUAAGAGCAUCAUCAUAUGCUGUUAUUUAGUAGGAGUUAUUUUGGCUUUACUCUAAUAAAGUUUACUUCAGUAUUCGUUAUACUUAGUAACGGUUUGAUAUGUAUCAACUUUUGCAUUCAAUAAAAUAUUUUUGAAUAUGUUGUCAUUAUGUUGAAUACAUAUUGAUAAAAGCCUCAAGGUAUUGUAUAAACCUUAAGUGAAGGCUGGGGGCAUCCGGUUAUUAGCUUUGUACAUAUGUCUUGUUAUACAUAAAGAAAUAUUAACCGUAAAGACAAGGCAUAUGUGGGUUCAUUGGAACCAUAAAGAUAAUCUCUAGUGGCACAAGUUUUUUGUGACGUUUAAGAUAAGAGAAUGGCGACUGAAAAAUGGGAUCUCUUUAUGAGAGAUGUUAUCCAUUUGCCACAUUACCAUAUUGAAUCCAUAUCAAUAAAAUUGAAAGCACUCAUGAUCAUGAAAGGCUCUAUGUAUGUACAUGCAGUUACCACCAUAAUUCGAUGUUUGAGACUUUAUGGGAUGGGAUUGACUAUUAAGAAUUAUUUUUAGACCAAGGUGCGCACAUACGGUACAAUUUCAAUUAAUAUAGUCCAAGUGAGAGAAUGUAAGAGUUUUCCUAAUGUGGACUACAUUAAUUGAUAUCGUAAUUUGCCGUUUUACGGGGUUGGUCUAAGGUAAGAUAGAAUGUUUCUUAAUUAGUCUCAUAUGGGGCAGGCUAGUGUGGGCCGAGUUAAACCUGGCCCGUAAUGAGAAGGCCUAGUUGGAAACUCUAUAAAUAGUACUCAAGUCUCUCCUUUAACCCUAAUUCUCACAAGUAUCCUCACAUAAUGAGCGUUUACCUAGCGCUAAAGGGUGAGGGGCCGUCUAAUUGAGCCAGUGAUACGGAGGGUAAUAGAGAAGAAUGACUUGCACGUGGAUCAUCGCUUUUCUGCUUCCGCAUCAAGAACGAUGGAUUCCAAAACAAGUGCGUUAAUCUUUCUACCUAUUCAUCUAUGCUCUUAUUCUGGUUAUGGAGAUCUUGGGGUUGCACGUUUUGCAUCCUACAUCUUAGCCCAUGGACCUGCAUCACUGAAUGGACACUUCUAAUGUAUUCGAUUCUUGGAUGAGCAUUUUUCUGGCUCGGCAGUGAUCGACCCAUGUGGCCACGAUGAAUAGUGGAAGCAAAAUUGACAUUGGUGAACAAAGCUUAACAGAGAAGAUGUCGAGUCCAAUUGAAGAAAUCGCACAGGACAGGGGUGGGACCGUGCAUCGAUAAAUCCAGGUUCUUUCUACGUAUUCUGUCGUUGGAAUGCAAGAGAGAUUAUUGAGAAAGUGUAUAAAUGAAGUCUCUAUUAUCUUUUACGAGCUAAGGGCAUAAGCAUAGAGGCUCAGUUAUCUAAAGGUUCUUGAACACUCUACAAGCCUCAUAAAUAGUUUGAGCCCUAGUUUUAUAAUUGUUGGCAGGUUUGGAUAAAGGUUCUAAGGCUUUGAUUGAGAAGUCAUGGGAAAUCAGGUGGAUAGGUUAUUUGCAUAUGGACAGUUCUAGUAAAAUUGUUGACUCUGGAGAAAUCAGCUUAAGGUUCUUCAUGGGAUCCAAGUACCACAUAGAUAGAUAUAUGCUAUUAGAUGGUUAUUUUUUUUCCACCAAAAAACAUCAUAUGAUAGAAAGUACGGGUUAUACCUAUUCCCUAAUGUAGUUUCAUUUUGUAAAUGAACCAAUUAGUCCUUUCCUCUCCUAAUCCCUGGAAAGUACGCGCACAACCUAGGGAUUUCAUUUAUCUCUUGUGGAAGUGAUUAUGAUUAGGUUUACUCAUAAUGGCGUCUAAUGACUUUAACCCUAAUUCAGGAUUAGCUAGCCAAUUACAGAGUGUCUCUACUGGAGUACAUGCACAUAUAUGGAAAAUCAAAGUUUCACAUCUUAAAAAUUUAUCAGAUCACUGUACAACUUGAUUAAUUAACCGAUAGCUGUCCAAUAUGAGAUACAGAUCGAUGCCCUUUUGUUGUUUAAUCGCAUUAAUACAAAAGACUUGUCCUUUUGCGAAAUUGGCAUUUUGCAUUAAGCCAUUUGUUUUGCAUUACCAAGACUUACCAUGUCUGAAGCAUAGAUAACUGCUUUUCUUUAAAUGCGUUUUUAUCAGUUAGAUUAAUGUGACUUACUACCUAAAUAGUUUUUGUUUGUAGCUAAUUCCAAAGUGUUUGUUCUUAUAAUCUUCCAGCCUUUCAUCAGUCUCAUGGGCUUUUUUUCCCAUCACCCUACUUUGUUUUGUGCUAAAACGCAAGACUGACGGCAAGUGUAUCUCCAAUCGAUAGAAUCUUUUAGGAGGAAAUUCUAUCCAAAUCGAACUUUUAUUUACACUAUCCCUUCAAAAUUUUAAACAUAUGUGUUUCUUGUGGGAGAUAUCCAUAAUCGUAACUUACCCAUCAGAAGAUUGAGUAGGAGGAAAUCAUGACUUUUUUUUUUUUUAUAACAAAAGAAGGCAGAGAAUAUUCGAUAUGAUACUUAUUAAUUGCAAAUUAUAUUAAAAAAAACUAAUUAAGUUUUAUUUCUUCCGCUUGGUAGAGAACAUUUGAUAUGAAACUCUAAUUAACUGCAGAUUGCAAAACUAGUGAUUAAAGGCGCGAAUGAUAAACAUUCUAACUAGAAAUUGAUUUCUGGAAGAGAAAUAGAUUUUUUUAUUUCUAUUUCUAAAUGAGUUUCGAAGCAAAAAUACCCGUUUGAUAACGACACAAAAUUUCUACUCUAAAAAUAGAAAUUCGUUUGAUAACGACAUAAAAUUUCUUCCUUUCACCGACCAACGCUGCCGCCAUCUGCCGUCCGCCAGUCCGCAAUGAAGACCGGUUCAUAGUAAGGACGAAUGGUUCAUAGUAAGGAUGAACGAUGAGAAUAAUUUUUAUUUCUCAUUUCUGUUCCAGAAAUAGAAAAGUAAAAAAAAUUUACUUCUGAUUUCUAUUCCAAACCUAUUUCUAAAACAAAAAUCUAUUUCACAAAUAGAAAAAUAGAAUAAUUUUAUCAAACGGAUUUCUAUUAUAGAAACAAGUCUGGAAUAGAAAAAUUAUUCUGGAAUAGAAAUUGUAGUUUGUCAUGCACCCCUAAGAGUCCCAACUUGAUAGUUUGUGUUAUAACGUCUGACAAAAAUGUUAUGAAACUAAUAGGGGUGGACACACAUUGCAAUAGGAACACCCCCACCUCCGUCCUAGCCUAACUAGCCCUCAUUAUCGUCGAAUUUGUCAAUUGACGAAUGGAGCAGAUUGGAGCCCGUCGAUUGAUCCAAUUAUAUGAUUGAGAAAUCUCUAUGUUUAUAGCUAUACUUUUACCUUUUACCGAUUUUCUACAAAAAUUUUGUUACGUGUGGAAUAAUGAACGGUCCAUAAUUAUUUGAAAUUGCCGCGGAAACGGACGGCAACUUUUUAGCAUCACCUUACUGCGAAGACUUUGUUGUGGGCUACGACUAGCGCAGCCCUUGGGCCUGCAUCGCUUGUGAAUGGCACUCACGACGUACUCGUUUCUUGGAUAAGCAUUUAUCUGGCUCGGUAGUGAUCGACCCAUGUGUCCUGGAUGAAUAGUAGUAGCAAAAUUGACGUCGGCGAAGAGGGGUCAACAGAGAAGAUGUCCAGUCCAAUUAAAGAUAUCAAACACAUCCGGGGUGGACCCGCCUUUAUCCAUGCGUUCCCAAACUUUAUGGACUGUGCAUCGAUAAAUACAGUGUCUUUAGAUGUAUACUGUCGUUGGGAUGCAAGAGAGAUCAUCGAGAACGCAUGGGGACCAAGUUCCUAUAUUUACGAGCUGACGGCAUGAGAGCAGAGGCUUGGUUACCUGGAAGCCUAUAGAAAACCCUGCAAGCGUCAUGGAUAGUCCAAGUGGUCUGCGCAGGUGGUUCUGACUAGAGCAGCUUGUACACGGUUAUUGGAAUUCAAACAAAUGAACUCCAAUUUCUGACUUACCAAUCUCUAGAUUUGCAAUAGGCAAAUUGUUUCCCAUUUUAUCCAGUUCACUGGGUCAAGUUACAAAGAUAAUCUAAUUCGUUUGGAUAAAAUUUCUUAGGCUUUGAUUGAGAAGUCACGUUGAAUAAGGUGGAUAGGCUAUUUGCAUGGGAACCAAGAACCACAUAGAGAGAUAUAUCCUAUCAUAUGGUUAAUUAUUUCCACCAAAACAUCAUAUGAUACAUGAUAGAAAAUGUGGAUUAUGCAUAUUCUCUAAUGUAGUUUCAUUUUGCAAAUGAACCAAUUAGUCCUUUCCUUUCCUAAUCCCUGGAAAGUAAGCACUCUUCCUGGAGAUUUUCAUUUAUCUCUUGUAGAAGUGAUUAUAAUUAGGUUACUGAUAAUGGCAUCUUAUCACAAUGACUUUAACCCUAAUUCAUGACUAGUUAGCCAGUGACAGUUUAUCUAUUGGAGAGCAUGCACAGAUAUGGAGGCAGCGGGGAGAAUCUCAUCUGCACGUGAAAUCACAGCUUCCCAUCUUGAACAUUCAUCAGAUUACUGCACAUUUUGAUUAAUUAACCAGGGCCGGUCCAAUCUGAGAUAUAGAUGGAUGCUCUUUUCUUGCUUAAUCACAUUAUUAGGGAAGAGUUGUCCUUUACGAUAUCGGCAUAUUGCAUUAUUCCAUUUGUUUUUCAUAACCUAAGACAUGUCCUAUCGGAGGCAUAUAUGGAUGCUUGUCUUUAAUCAAGUCUUUUUCAAGUAGAUUGAUAUAAUUUACUACCUAAGUAGUUCUUGUUUCUAGCUAAUUCUCAAGUGUUCUUUUUUUUUUUUUUUUGCCUAUUCUAUUUCAUCCUUUCACCAAUUACGCGGGCUUUCCCAUCACCUUCUUUUAUUUUGUGCUCAAACGCCUUACAGAUUCCACGUGAUGAUAGAAUGAUUAGAGUCCAACAAAAAUCUAAUGCCUCGCUCUUUAUUAGUUAGAACUUAGGAGUUCCCCCACAGACCAACUUAUUUUUUGAGCUUAGGAGUCCCUAGAAACCAACUUAUUUUUUAUAUUUUCCUUUAUAUCAUGCUUUUGAUUAGUAGGUCAUAGCUUAUGGACAUCAUUCACAUGUAUACUCAAUUCAAUUUCAAUAAGGACAAUAUCUGUAUAUGUAACUAACCAAUCAUAAGACUGAGCAAGAGGAAAUCAUGACCCUUUUUUAACAACAAAUAGAGUCAAGGGAUUGCGAUGAUAUACCUCACUCAAGCCUUAGGUUCAAAUCACCCCGUUUGUGCAAGUACAAGCCUAUGUAUCAACAGUAAUUACUCGAUUGGUGUUAUAGAUUUGUCUGAGAAUCAAACGGAAUACAAUACUUGUUAAUUGCAAGUUGAACUAGAAUAACUAUUAAGUUUUAUUUCUUUCGCUUGGCAGAGAACAUUCGAUAUGAAACUCUAAUUAACUACAAAUUGAACUGACACAAGUUUUGUUUCUUUCGCUUCAUCCAUUUGUCCUAGAGAAUCUCUCUCUCUCUCUCUCUCUCUCUCUCUCUCUCUCUCUCUCUCUCUCUCUCUCUACCAUCAGUCCUAUAAAUUUCAUGCUCAAUCAAGCGAACCCUCCAACAACAUCAGCAUUCCCUCUCUCUAAAGAAAUGAGCGAGAUCGGUUUUAUCAAAAUGUCUCUCUUCUCCCUCUUCCUCGUCCUGCUGUUGCCACUCCAUGUUAGUUUUCUCAAGCUCUCUUCCCUCCCCUUCCACACACCAUAAUCACUGCUCAUCCUAUUUACGAACUUCGCAUGCAUUAACACUCAUAGUUUGUUGACCUUGUUUAUGUUCCUAUAUAUGUUAAAAGAGACAUGCGAAACAAAAAUCACGAAGUGAAAGACAUAUAUAAUGCCAUAAUAUAUAGGAGGUUUAUGUGUUCGCUUGUUUUUAUAACGUAGUGUAAGUCUCCAUUACUUAUGCUAAGCCAGAUAUGAUGUAUUGACAAAGAAAAAAAUGACUAUUAUCAUUCAGAUUGUGGACAUAAGUUGAAGGAUUUGUUAGGAAUAUUUAUCAUGCUAUCUAUUCUAUUCUUAAAAGUUGAUUUCAUUCUUGUUAUCUCACGGGCAUAACUUCUUGCUACUUUGCUUACGACCAUUUGCACGUUCAUUGCAGUUUCAUCCAUAUCCCAUGUAUAUGCUGCAUAAAUAUUUCACGAAGUCUGUUUGGCAUCGUAUUGCGAUUGUGGUGUAGCCUUGUUUGUCUUAUGACUGAGUUGUAAAUUGAAUUUUAGGGUUCGAUAUCUUUUAAACUAGGUGAACUAUCCUAGGUCGGUUGCAUCGUGCUAACUUUCUAGUCACUCAUUGAUUUUCUCUUUCGUCUCGCUAUAGGUUGUUUCCACCACCGCGAGAACCGCCGCCAAUGCCAACUCCCUUGCCGGCGAUGCCAACUCAAUCCCUCCCAAAGAAUAUUUUGUCCGUUACUGGACUGAACAAAUCACUAGCAACCCUGCCAUACCACCACUGCUCACAUCCAAAGUUUCACCCUUAACUGCUGCACAAACAACCCUUUUUGCCCAGCUCGUGGCUAAAGGUGCCAUCUCCGAUCACCUCUCAUCUUUCUGCAGGGCAGCACAACUGCUCUGCUUCCCAGCCUCACCACACUAUCCAGUUGGCUACACUGUCGAAAAUAGUGCCACGACGCGGGCAGGUGGCAUGAACGUGAACAGGGGCGUGGAGCCUAAUACUUCCGGGAAUCGAUGCUGAGGAGUGGGAAUGUGAUCCGGAUGCCGGAUCUUCGUGUCAAAUCUCCCAAAAGGUCGUUUUUGCCUCGCAGCAUUUCCUCCGGAUUACCGUUCUCCAUCUCGAAACUCGCCGAGCUGAAGCAAAUCUUCCAUGCUGGGGACGAUUCCAAUAUGGAGAAGAUCAUGAUGCGCACACUCAGCCAGUGCGAGCAAGCGCCAAUCCAAGGUGAGACCAAGCGAUGUGUAAGCUCUGUCGAGGGGAUGAUCGACUUCGCCACCACAAUACUAGGCCACGACAUCCAGCUUCACUCCACGGAGAGCGUCGAAGGGUCGAAGCGUGAGAUCUUAAGACUUCGGAUUAGAUUUUUAAUCAUUUUGAUUUCUUUGUCGUGAUAAUUAGAGUUAAGAUAAUCGUUAAUUUGACCUGUGAGACAACAAGUUAUUUUUUCGAUUAUCUACUCCUUUAUUUUGUUGAUAGCUUAGAUUUAAUAUUUAUUGAAUAAUUACUUAUCUUUUAAGAAAAAAAGCUACAAAAUCAAAAAAAAUUAAAAAAAAAUCAAAAUUAUGCAUGAGCAUAUAGGUUUGGUAACUCAGACAUUUAGGUUUAGUAAAUUAGAAUUUUCUUAGGAUUACAUUUUUAGGAUUGCAUUUUUAGAAAUAAGUUAGAGUUAAACCUAAUUAAUUUUUUAGGGUUUUAGAUAAUGUUCGCACAUUUAAUUACCUCAUUUUUCAAAAAAAAAUAGUUUUCUAAGAUAGGAUAGGGUUUAAGUCAAAUUAAUCCCUAGAAUAAAUUAGAAAAUUAUCCCUUUUUAGAUAGAUUAAUUAGGGUCUUCAUAAAUUCUAAACUUCAAUAAAAAAAAAUGCAAAAAUACUAGGUGCAUGUUAACUAGUUUGCAUAAUAGAAUCAUUUAAUCAGAAUUUAUUCAUUAGUGAAAUUAGGUCAUGAGGUGCAUGUUAAUUAGUUUGCAUAAUAGGCCCAUUUAAUUAGACUUUGCAUAUUAAUAAGAUGACUAAAAAAUGCAUUUUCAUAAAAGAAUUCUGAUUAAAAAAGAAAUAAAAAAAAAUUGUUUACUUCGUGUGAUGCAAUUUAUUUAUUGAAUGUUUGAGCAUCCGUGUGGUCACUUUUUGAAUGAUAGUAGUUUAGGUUAAAAUAAAUUAGCUACCUGCCAAAAAAAAUAAACAUUUUUGAAAAUUAAAAAGAAAUGGUACCGAAAGGGCAUUAGAGAGAUCUAGUGUAACCAAAUCCCCGUACCUUUAGUCUCUGGUUCGUAGAAGUAAAAUAAUUCUCCCAUUAUUUUACUUAGGUGUCUAAUCGACCUACCAUAAAUCGAUCAGUGGCGACUCCUAGAUAAUAAUCAUUUGCAUGUUAAAUAUUUGAAUAUCAAGUCGUGAAUUGGUAUGGGCUUGGGAGAGCUUGAGCUAAAUUUAAAGACUUAGUAGUCCAUUAACCUAGUUUUAGGUGGUGCACCCGAAAAAUAGGUCGCGACAGUCGUCCACUGACAAAGGCGGUUUGUUCCAUAGAAAUCAGCUUAGGUAACCAAGGUUUUAGGCGAUUGGCAAUUACCUUCGAAAUGACUUUAUAUGUAAAGUUACAGAGACUGAUUGGUUUGUAUUGCUCCAUUCUCUUUGGAUGAGAAGUCUUGGGAAUCAAAGCUAUAAUAGUGCGGUUCAAAUUGGCCAACAUCCGUCCUGUCUGAAAAAAAUUUUGAACUAGAAGAACAAGAUCGUCUUUUAUAACCUCCCAAUGUGUUUGAUAAGAUAUUCCAUUGAAACCAUCAGGGCCUGGUGCCUUAGUAGAUCUCAGCUGAAAGGUAGCCCGGCGAAUCUCCUCUGAAGUAACCACUUCCAGCAAUUGGUUGUUCAUUUCAUUGGUAACCACCUGUGAGCAUUGUUGAAUUAUGGGACUAUACUCUCGAUGACCCACCAUUGUAUAUAAACCUGAAAAGAAAUUGCGUGCCAUAACCUGUAAAGUAUGAGGAUCUCGAAUCCAUUGUUGGCGAUCAUCUUGAAAAAAUCGGAUAACUUACCGAUAAAUUUAUCGAUAGAAAAUAAUGCAUAGAUUAUCGAUGAGAUCCUUCACUAGUAGACAAAUUGAAUGAGAUCGAUAAGCCAUCAACAACAAAUAAUUACCUCAAGUAGUUGCAAAUUUCCAGUGAAUUAUUGAGGCUGUGUAAUUCAUGACCAAAACAGAGGCUUGCCAGAAUACAUCAGUAGGCAAAUACGGUGGAUUCACACCAACACGUGAUCAUUAGGUGGUUAUGCCUAUAACCAUGGAAUUUAUGACUUCUUCUGGAUAAUCACUGUCAAAUGAUAGAGGAUAAUGUUUAUAGUCUCGUAAAGCAUAAUUGCUCACCAAUAAUUGUAAAGAGUGCUAGGAAAUUAAUCGUGGAUUCAAAUCAAUAACUGCUUGUAAAAACUGCCCCAUGGUAAGAGAUAAAGCCCCAUGUUAUACUCAUUGUAAAAAAAAUCAAUCAACACCUAAUUUUCUAUUCUUAUGCACAUUUAAUUUCUUCUUUAAUUUUCCAGGAAAUGUACCGUUUUAGUAUCUUCAUAUUUUCGUGCCUUUAAUGAUUCUCGCAACUUUUAAUUUCCGAUACUUGCACUGCAAUUUCUUUACUUCUAUAGUCAUUUAGGGUGCGAAUGGUAACGUUUCUGUUCUUUUUUUGUUCCAGGGAAUAGAAACAAAAAAAAGUGUUUCUGUUCCGGGGAACAAUUUUUGAACAAAAAAACGCGUUUGGUAACAUUUGGUCCGGGAAUAAAAAAUGAACAGAAACACGUUUGGUAAAUUUUAUUCUUUUUUUGUUUCUUUUAAUUUUUUAAACAUUUUUAUUUUAUUUUUCAUUUUUUCCUUUCUUUUUUAUUUUUUCUUUUUUCGGCCGGUCACCGGCCUCCGGCGACCGGCCAACGAGGCCGGCAGCCUCGCCCAGCCAUGGCGAGGCUCGCCGGCCCUCGGCGAGGCCGAGCCUCGCCGUGGUUGGGCGACGCUCAGCCUCGCCUUGGCUGGGCAAGCUCGAGCUCGCCCAGAUCCGGCGAGGCCGAGCCUCGCCGGGGGGCCAGCGACGCUCGGCCUCGCCGGAUCUGGGCGAGGCCGAGCCUCGACGGCCGGUCACCGGCCAUGGCCGAGGCCGGCGACCGGCGAAAGAAAAAAGAAGAAAAAAAAGAAGAAGAAAAGAAGAAAAGAAGAAGAAGAGAGAGAAGAAACGUUUCCUUCGUUUUUGUUUCUGGAGCAAGAAACAACAAAUUGUUGUUUCUUUUUUAUGUUCUUAUUUCGUUCCAGAAACAAAAAAACAAAAAAAGAACAGAAACGCAACCAAACGCGUUUCUGUUCUUUUUUUGUUCCCGGGAACAAAAUCCGUACAGAAGUGUUCCAGAAACGUUUCUUAGAAACGUUUCCAUGCACACCCUUACAUUCUUGUCUAGAACCAACAAAGAAUCUAUUUUCUUCAAUAUUCACCGAUCCGAUUCAUCUAUUGAUAUUUACACUUUUUGGUGAAACACUAGCCUCAUUGUUUGCACUAGUCAAUGUUUGGAGUUGAACUCAUGUCAAGCGUUCUAAUUAUUCCACAAACAUGUGUUACUUUUUAUAUCACUAAAGCAACUCUAAUGGAUUUUGAUGUUAUAACUUCCAAACGAAGAGUGUGUAAAGAGUGGAAAUUAGAGAAUCACAGUCUGCGUGCUCUAUAAUUUCUUUUCCAAAAAAAAAAAUCCGAUCAGUUAUUGCAAGAAAAGAAUUAUUGUGCGACAAUAGAUGCUCAAUUAUUCGAUGGACAUUAAAUCCUCAUACAUGUGUGAGUUGACAAUCAAUAAGGAAAGGUCUAUGGCACGCGUGAUGGUGAUGGAUUUGUAUCUCUCCAAACAUGUCCUAUUCUGUGCACUACAAUCCGACAUGUCUUGUCCCAUAAAGCUUAAUCCAUUAAAUUGUGAGCCACAGAAUUCACAAGCAUCUAUGGAUUUAUUGUCAUCGCUCUCAAAGAUCUCAUUUGCUAGUUGGAGCACUUCUCUCCAAAAAUGAGGAUAUAUUGAUGUGAAAUUGACACCCUAGAUAUCAGAAGUUAGUGCAUACAUAAACUUCAAUCGAUCCUUUUCUAUAUUUUUCUAAUAAUAGUAGGAUAGUAAUGUAAACAAUGCUAAGCCAGUGCCAUGCAUCCACUGUCAAAUGAAUGCACUUGUAAAAAUAACCUAAAUAUAUUUACCCUUCAUCUGCCACCGUUCGUUAUUAGCACUACCCUCCAUAAUACCGCCAUCGAUCUGGGCAUCUCUCUCUCUCUCUCUCUCUCUCUCUCUCUCUCUCUCUCUCUCUCUCUCUCUCUCUCUCUCUCUCUCUCUCUCUCUCUCUCUCUCUCUCUCUCUCUCUCUCUCUCUCUCUCUCUCUCUCUCUCUAGGUGGGCACAAGUUUUGUCUCAUGGUCAUCAAACUGGGAGGAGUAGUAUUUUUCUAAAGAAAAGUGCACCUAAAGUCUUAAAAUUUACUACGAAAAUACAUUUAAAUCCUAAAAUUUUCAAAAUUGUAAUCAGAUGUUAAAACUGAUUAAAAUAAUGUAAGUAAGUAAUACGUCCUCUAUUAUUUUUUUCCUAAAAAAAAAGAUCCAAUCAGUUGUUACAAGAAUAGAAUUUUUGCGAAGGUGAGUGACAGGAAAUUUUCUAUAAUUCAAUGGCCAUUAAUCCUCAUACAUGCGUGUCGAUGACAUGCUUGAUGGUAAUGGAUUUGUAUCUCUCCAAACAUGUCCCAUUAGGUGCAGUACAAUCCUACAUGCUUAUCUCAUAAUGCUUAAUCUUUUAAAUUGUGAGUCGCAUAAUUCAUAAGCAUCUCUAGAUUUAUCAUCAUCGCUCUAAAAUAUCUCAAUUUGCAAAUUGGAGCACUUCUCCCCAAAAACGAGAUGCUAAUGUGAAAAUGACACCCUAGACAUCUAGAAGUAAGUGCAUACAUAAACCUCAAUCGGUCCUUUUCUAAUAUUUUCUAGUUAACAAUAGUAUAAGUUAAAAUUAAACAAUGCUAAGAUAGGUGGCAUGCAUUCACAUGUCAAAUGAAUACACAUGUAAACUUAAUCUAGAGAUAUUUACUCUCCAUCAGCUUCGCCCACAACUAAAUUAGUUGCAUUGGUACUAGCCUCCAUAGCAUCACCAUCGACCCGGCAUCUUUCUUGCAGGCGUAACGUAGGCACAAGGUUUGUCUUGUCGUCAUUGAACUGAGAGGAGUAGUAUUUUUCUAAACAAAAGUACACUAAAAGUCUUAACAUUUAUCAUAAAAAUAUAAUUAAAUCCCAAAACUUUCAAAAUUGUAAUCAGAUGUUAAAACUGUUUAAAAUAAUGUAAUUAAGUCCUACGUGCUCUAUUAUUUUUUCCCAAAAAAAAAAAGAUCCAAUCAAUUAUUCAAUUAUUACAAGAAAAGAAUUUUUGUGAAGGUGAGUGACAAUAGAUUUUCAAUUAUUCAUUGGCCAUUAAUCCGCGUACAUGCGUAAGGUGACAAUCGACAAGGAAAGAUCUAUAACAUGCUUGAUGGUGAUGGAUUUGUAACUCUUGAAACAUGUCCUAUUAUGUGUAGUACAAUCCUACAUGCCUGUCCUAUAAUGCUUAAUCCUUUAAAUUGUGAGUUGCAUAAUUCAUAAGCAUCUUCAAAUUUAUCAUCACUGCUCUAAAAUAUGUUAAUUUACAAAUUGGAGCACUUCUUACCAAAAAUGAGGAUCUAAUGUGAAAUUGACACCCUAGAUAUCUAGAAGUGAGUGCACACAUAAACCUCAAUCGGUCCUUUUCUAAUAUUUUCUAGCUAACAAUAGUAUAAGUUAAAAUUAAACAAUGCUAAGAUAGGUUGCAUGCAUUCACAUGUCAAAUAAAUGCACAUGUAAACUUAAUCUAGAGAUAUUUACUCUCCAUCAGCUUUGCCCAUAGCUAAAUCAGUUGCACUAGAUCUAGCCUCCAAAGCACCGCCAUCGAUCCAACAUCUUUCUCGCUGGCGUAAUCACCUCUCUCUCUCUCUCUCUCUCUCUCUCUCUCUCUCUCUCUCUCUCUCUCUCUCUCUCUCUACGGAGGUAGGCACAAGCUUUGUCUUGUCGUCAUCAAACUGGAACGAGUAGUAUUUUUAUAAAGAAAAGUGCACUAAAAGGUUUAAAAUUUAUCGCAUCCUAAGACUUUCAAAAUUGUAAUCAAAUGCUAAAACUGGUCAAAAUAAUGUAAUUAAGUUCUACGUGCUCUAUUUUUUUUCCCAAAAAAAAAAGAAGAUCCAAUCAGUUACUGCAAGAAAAGAAUUUUUAUGAAGGUGAGUGACGGCAGAUUUUCAAUUAUUCAACGGACAUUAAUCCUUGUACGUGCGUAAGGUGAUAAUCGAUAAGGAUGACAAUCGAUUAGGAAAGGUCUAAGACACGCAUGAUGGUGAUGGUUUUGUAUCUCUCCAAACACGUCCUAUCUUGUGCAGAACAAUCCUAGAUACUCGACCCAUAAUGCUUAAUCCUUGAAAUUGUGAGCCACAUAAUUCAUAAGUAUCUCUAGAUUUAUAGUCAUUGCUCUAAAAUAUCUCAAUUUACCAAUUGGAGCACUUCUCGCUAAAAAUAAGGAUGCUGAUGUGAAACUGACACCCUAGAUAUCUAGAAGUGAGGGCCCACAUAAACCUCAAUCGGUCCUUUUCUACUAUUUUCUAGUUAACAAUAGGAUAAAUUAAAAUUAAACAAUGCUAAAACAGGUGGCGCGCAUUCACAUGUCAAAUAAUUGCACACGUAAAUUUAAUCUAGAAAAAUUUUCUCUCCAUUAGCUUGUCCCACAGCUACACCAAUUGCACUAGCAUUGGCCUCCAUAGCACUGCCAUUGAUUCGAGCAUUUUUCUCGCAAGCGUAAUCACCUCAAUCUGGGCACUGGCCUACACCAGUUCUAAAAUUUGUCGAAAAGUGCAAUCAGACCAUAAAAUUUUCAAAAAGUAUAAUAAGAUCUUAGAACUUGUCAAAUUUGUGUAAUCAAGUCCCUUUAUCAACUUUCUAUAAUUUCAUUAAUGAAAAAUGCCGACAUGAUUAUAUUAAUUACUUUUGUUAUGACCAAAGCAGAAACUACUACAAAUGAAACUAAGAAAAAUAAAAGAACACACAAAUUUACGUGAAAACUCUCAUGGGAAAAAACUACAGGGAGAGAAGAAGAAAAAUCUACUAUGGAAAUUUAAGGAUUAUCAAAGGUGGCUCGAUAAACCUUAAUAAUCUUUUUAUCACUCACUUUAAAUCUAAUAACUUGGGAAAAAAUAAUAUUUAUAUUGCUCCAUACGAGGGGGCGCAAUCCUUGCACCUUUGCCAAGGAUUAGUACUGAAGUACUGGCUUGGGCCUCGACCAACACUAAACCUGACUUUGUUUUUAUCAAGUCGGGUUGUCGCAAAUUUCAAUUUAAGUAUCAAAACUCAAUUUAGGUUGAAUGCCUGGGAACACAAUUCAAGAUAUUCUCAACAAUUUCUUGAGACACGUGGCAUCCACUAAGCACCACAUCAAAUAAUGAAACUUUUGGAAAAAAAAAAUUAAAGAAAGAAAGAGAGAGUAAAAGUAAAAUAAGAAAAAAGGGAAAAUGUUCUAACAAAAGGCUAAUAAUGAAAAGAAAGGGGAAAAAAUUAUUUUAAAAAAAAAAAAAAAAGCAAGACCUCAGCUUCUGGUUUCCAAAAGAAACAGUGGUUUCGAUUCUUGCGAGCGAAAGUUGAGAUUGAAGGGAAUGAAUCUCUUUUUAACCCCGCAGAUCGCCUACGGACACUUCUUGGAUCAGUUUUACAUAUGAAAGGCUCCACUAUUCUGCCAUGGCUGUGGUAGGAUUGGCCAUUGCCGCCACAGCUGUACCUUCAUCACAGAUGCUGCGUCGACGGAGAGGUGCUCUCGAAUUUGCGGGCUGAGUCCAGCCUUUUCUACAUCGACCCAGUUCAUUCGGUUCCAUUUCGCAAUUUUGAUAAGGAACACUAAAAAUUUGAAAAAGACUUCCUACGCUCGCGAACAUAGCAAUAAACCAAAAAAAAAAAAAAAAGUUCAGGAGGAAGAUGUAGAUGUCUACGCUAGGGUAACGACAUCAUCCCCCCUUUUUUUUCUGGUCUGAUUUCGCCUUCUAUCAAGGAGGAGCUUUGCAAUAGUUCUCAAUAAAAACCCCAUGUGGGAGGAAAAAGGUGAAGGAGAAGGGGAGUCAUCUUCAUGCAAGUGCAAGAUCUUGCCCCCUUUUUAAGUUUUUGUUCUCUCUUUCCCCCUAUCAUCCUUUUCUAUUCAUUUUUUUUUAAUUUUAAAAAUUUAUCUUUUCAAAUUUUCGAUUUUUUUUCUAAUGUGGCACUUGAUAGAUGCAUGUAUCUUAAUAAAAUAAUAAAAGAAGCGUUAGCCAAAUUGAAUUGAUUGGUUGAAAGACCUAAUUGUAUCAUUUUGACAAGUCUUAUAACUCAAUUACAUUUUUGCGUCAAUGAUCACGUAUAAUGCUCGUGACAAGGCAACCAAAAUUUCCCUUAAUUAGGUUUUCAUCUAUUAUUAGUCGGUGGCUCGACCCAUAAAAAUAUUCUAAAUUAGUAUGCGCAUAUCUACAUGCCCUCAAUGGGUUUACAGAGACACUAAGCAUAAUUAACUUUAAUCUCCAGAAAUCCACAAUUAAAAUCAAAACCCUUCUCACAAUUAAGGUUUAAUAACCAAAUCACAACAUUCGAUAAAUACACACACACACACACAUAUCAAAGCACCUCAAAAACCACAUUCAUAAAUGAUAAACUUUUCAUGAUUUUUUCAUAGAAGGUUUCGCAAACCAUUUACAAGCAAUUAAUUCAAACUGAAGUUAAAGGAUGACUCCCCAUUUUAAACAAACAAAACGGCAGUAAAUGUUCGAUCCUAUUUUAUGCAACAACAGAUGCAAUUUCUUAACUUAUAACAUAUAUAAUCCAUAUCGUUUUCAAAAUAUAAAAACACAAAAAAGAAAUAGUAUCACUUUGGGAAAGCGAAAAAUCAGCGGGAGUAAUCCCAGCACAUGACGCCAAAUACUUAUUUGUAAUUAUAAAGGGAAAACCAUUUGCAAGUUGAACUAGAAACACAGUGGUUUUGUUCCUUUCGCUUAAUCCGUUUUGUCCUUAUCGAGUCUCUGGUCCUAUAAAUUUCUGGCUCGAUCGACCAAACCCUUCGACAAUCAUCAGCAUUUCCGCUCCCUGAUUGAACAAAUACAUGCACAACAGUUUCAGCACGAUGGCUCUCACCUCCCUCCUCCUCCACCUCCUCCUCCUCCUCUCUUCUCUCCAUGUCAGUAAUUUGUCAAGCUUUCACUCUCCAUGCGUACCCAACUGCUCAUCUCUCUCUCUCUCUCUCUCUGUGUUCUCAUGCAAAGACAGGGCUAUAUGUUUAAUUCGAUAUCUCGCGCUUAAUUAGUAUAUACUUCUUACCUAAGAAUUGCUGAAAAAAUUUUGCGGCCAUUUACUCCAUUGGCAAUUACUUCUCAUCCAUUAUUUGUUAACCCAAUCUCUCUAUACUGGUUUAGAGUGCACAGGCUAUCGGAUCAAAUGGGGAGCCCAGGCUUCAUAAGAACUAUUCGAUUUAAUUUACGCAUGCAAGAAGCUAAACAUGUUAGUUUGUAUCAAAAUUAAACAUCAUAAUAUUAUAUAUAUCUUCAUACCAAAAAAAUAUAUAUUUUAUAUAAUAUAUUUAUCUCGUUUGGAUUAUCUUAACGCAUGUCAGUAGAUCAAUUGUGUUUAUGUGUUCUUUAGGCUAACAAAGAAUAUUGAAUGAAACAUAGAUAAUCAAGUGAACAUAUAAUGCUUUGAUAAUAUGAAAGCAUGUAAGUUGCAAUAGUCAUUUUAAGUGAUUAAGCAUAACGUUACUACUUUUAGACACAAGCAUCAGAUAACAUACGUUGAUGAUUAUUAGGAUUAAAUUGGUGGGUCAUCUAUGUUCAUCAUAACAAUAAUCCCAAUCAUGCUAUUACGAGGUUCUAAUUUCGUGUCACGUGACUUGUACUUUUUCGCAUGUUCAUUACAAUUUUCUGUAUGUCUAUUUUACUUCCAUAUUUAUGUCAUUGCCCAGUUACUUAAGUCCAUAAUGUCCAUUCUAAUCGUGAUUAUAUAAACUUCUAGCUCACAGUCACUCUUUGAUUUUCUUUUGUGGAUUGUCCUGCGAUAGGUCCUCACCACCGUCGCUAGGGCCACUCCCGAGGCCGACUCCCUCGCCGACGAGGCUAACUCGAUCUCUCCCAAAGCAUACCUUGUCCAUUACUGGAACAAGCAAAUCACCAACAACCUUCCCAAGCCACCAAUCCUCUUCUCCAAAGCGUCACCUCUAACGGCCGCGUCAGCGACCAUCUUCGCCGAACUCGUUGCCAAAGGCGCCAUCUCUGACCACCUCCUAUCGUUCUGCGAGGAGGCGCAAUUGCUCUGCUUCAUGAACUCAUCAUCUGAUGGGGUCGCAGCGAUAUCUCCGUCUCAAAGAUACAUAUACAUAUAUUCCGACCAAAUAAAAGAAAAAAACAUAUACGGCCUCUCCCCCCCCGAUACAAUUGUGGCAACUGAUGACAAGAAAGUAAAUGGGGGCGUGGAGCGGGGCUUGUUCUUUCGAGAGUCGAUGCUGAAGAGCGGGAAUGUGAUGCCAAUGCCCGACAUGCGGGAUAACUUGCCCAAAAGGUCAUUUUUGCCUCGCUGCAUUUCCUCGGAACUGCCGUUUUCAACCUCGAAGCUCGCUGAGCUGAAGCAAAUCUUCCGUGCCAUUGAAAAUUCCGCUGUGGGGAAGAUCAUGGCGCAAACGCUAGGCGAGUGCGAGGGUGCAGGAGUCCAAGACGAAACCAAGAGGUGUGUGGCCUCCAUCGAGGAUAUGAUCGACUUCGCCACCUCGGUUUUGGGUCAUGACGUCAUGGUCCGAUCCACGGAGAGUGCCAGAGGGUCGAAGCAGGAGGUCUUGAUCGGGGUGGUCAAGAGGAUCGAGGGCAGCGAAGUGAGCAAGCCCGUGGCCUGUCACGAGAUUCUAUUUCCUUACAUUGUCUAUUACUGUCAUACAUUUCCAAACGUCCGAGUUUACGAAGCAGACAUACUAGAUCCCAAAUCCAAGGCUAAGAUCAAUCACGGUGUCGCCAUUUGUCAUAUGGACACAUCAACUUGGAGCCCUGCCCACGGGUCGUUUCAGUUGCUUGGAUCGGGUCCUGGCCAGAUCGAGGUCUGCCAUUGGAUAUAUGAUAAUAACCUGAUAUGGACAAUUGCCAAGUCAUAAUGGAAGAACGAAGUGUGGUCAAGAUGGAAUAAACAUGGGUUCGGCCUGGUGAUCAAGAGAGAACUUGGUCUCUAGCUACCUCCAACCGAAAGCCUCUCUUGCUUUGCAUUACAGUCUAAUAUAGUAUCUGAAUCUGAUCAAUAACAACGUGUUUGUGUUUGGUGUGAGACAGUCGUUAUGGUCAGUAAAUGUCAAGUGUUUUUUUUUUUUUUUUGUGAUUUGAGUACAUGUUCAAGUCUUUUGCAUUCUCC